UGCCAGACUCCUACGGGAGGCAGCAGUGGGGAAUAUUGCACAAUGGGGGGAACCCUGAUGCAGCGACGCCGCGUGGGUGAAGGAGUAUUUCGGUAUGUAAAGCCCUAUCAGCAGGGAAGAACAAUGACGGUACCUGACUAAGAAGCAUCGGCUAAAUACGUGCCAGCAGCCGCGGUAAUACGUAUGGUGCAAGCGUUAUCCGGAUUUACUGGGUGUAAAGGGAGCGCAGGCGGCGCGUUAAGCCUGGUGUGUAAGCCCGCGGCCCAACCGCGGAACUGCAUUUGAAACUGUUUUUCUUGAGUACCGGAGAGGUCAUCGGAAUUCCUUGUGUAGCGGUGAAAUGCGUAGAUAUAAGGAAGAACACCAGUGGCGAAGGCGGAUGACUGGACGGCAACUGACGGUGAGGCGCGAAAGCGUGGGGAGCAAACAGGAUUAGAUACCCUUGUAA
rnacentral:rRNA from 1 species